rnacentral:rRNA from 1 species
CCUACGGGGGGCUGCAGUGGGGAAUAUUGGACAAUGGGCGAAAGCCUGAUCCAGCCAUGCCGCGUGUGUGAAGAAGGCCUUCGGGUUGUAAAGCACUUUCAGCGGGGAGGAAGGCGUUAAGGUUAAUAACCUUGGCGAUUGACGUUACCCGCAGAAGAAGCACCGGCUAACUCCGUGCCAGCAGCCGCGGUAAUACGGAGGGUGCAAGCGUUAAUCGGAAUUACUGGGCGUAAAGCGCACGCAGGCGGUCUGUCAAGUCGGAUGUGAAAUCCCCGGGCUCAACCUGGGAACUGCAUUCGAAACUGGCAGGCUAGAGUCUUGUAGAGGGGGGUAGAAUUCCAGGUGUAGCGGUGAAAUGCGUAGAGAUCUGGAGGAAUACCGGUGGCGAAGGCGGCCCCCUGGACAAAGACUGACGCUCAGGUGCGAAAGCGUGGGGAGCAAACAGGAUUAGAUACCCCGGUAGUC